GACGAACCGUGCGAACGUUGUUCGGAAUCACUGGGCUUAAAGGGCGCGUAGGCGGGCUGUCAAGUUUGGGGUGAAAUCCCGCGGCUCAACCGUGGAACUGCCUCAAAUACUGACGGCCUCGAGGAAGGUAGGGGCAUGCGGAACUGUAGGUGGAGCGGUGAAAUGCGUUGAUAUCUACAGGAACUCCGGUGGCGAAAGCGGCGUGCUGGACCUUUUCUGACGCUGAGGCGCGAAAGCUAGGGGAGCAAACGGG
rnacentral:rRNA from 1 species